AAAGGAUGAAAGGCAAAGUCGACCUCGGCGGAAUUUGAACUCAGAACGCAGCGGCAGACGAAAUACCGUUAAGCAUUUCGCUCGGCGUGCUAACGUUUCUGCCAGCUCGCCACCUUAUAACCCAGAAAUAUUGAAGUCUACAUUAAUUCAUAUAUUUGUUUUCUUGGAUUUGCCUUGAAAUGUGUAACGGCAGAAAUUAAAUUGUAAACAAUUAUAUGGUAAACAGUAAGAUGGAAUUGGUACACAGCAGGAUGGAAUGUCAGCGUUGUAAUCAGUUUGUAAGGAUUGGUUCUUCGUUGAUUGCCUUUAUGUAAAGAUGAAAGAACAGUGAUUGAAGUUGCGAAGAAAAUAUUUAUUUACCGUUACAUUGAAUAUAGCUUGCCUCGACGGGCAGGUGGUAAAAUCCAAAAGCAUGCGAAGCUAAAAGGUUAAUUUCGGCCUGUAUGUUCUUAUUGUAGUAGUAAACCAUAGAGAGAGAUAUGGUAACGUGCAGAGAAGAGAAAGUAAGAGAGUGUGGACGAAACAACUGCUUCGUUGGUCAGUUUAGUAGCAUAUGGCGACUGGAAUUACACGUUAGCCGCCACCCCGAGUCGUGCACCAGCGAGCUUUGAUUGAAGGAGACGGCUGUAGCAGCACUUUGAACUCACCCUACUAAACACUGCUUGUCACAACUGACUAGUUUGCAGGAAAACAAUUUGAAAGCUCGCUAUGCAAUAAAGUUUUGUGUUAAACGAGACAAAAACACUAUAGAAACUUAUGAAAUGCUCCAGACUGGUCAUGGAUUAACUUGUAUGAAUCGAGCAUCUGUUUUUCGCUAGCACAAGAGGCCAGGCAAAGCAAAACAACCGGGGAAUUCAUAACGAUCUCCCUUUUUUGGAAGCAAAGUCAUCAUCUACAUCGACUGGGUUCUCUCUAGCCAGACGGCCAACAAAAACACUUUGUGGAGGUUUUGAGGGAGUUCAGGAAGAGAUUUCGUCGCAAAAGGCUUGAAUACCUGCACCAAUCCAAAAUUCCAUCCUGGUAAUCAAUUACUUGACAGAGAUGGGCAUCAAAACUAUACCUCAGCCUCCUUACAGUUCAGACAUUGCUUCCUGCGAUUUUUGGUUGCUCCCCAAACGGAAGGAGAAAAUGAAGGCAGCUGUUACAAGGGUCCUGAACACCUUUACGUAGGAGGACUUCCAUGGAGCCUUCACGAAGUGGCCAGAGCACUACCACAAGGGCACUGAAGUCAGAAGAUCCCAUUUUGAAGGAGAUUAGACUUUUGUACUUCUUUGAAAUUAAUAAAUACCUCUCCUGAAAAAUCUUAUAACUUCUGGAGUGCACCUGGUGUAUAUGUGUGCGUGCGUGCGUAUGCCCGUGCGCGCGCGUAUGUAUGCGUGCGUGUGUGUAUAAUUUUAUUACGAGGAUUCAUAAGAAUCAAGGUACAUCAACUUGUAGGACGCCAAAAGUGGCUAGGCACUAUAACUCAGUGAAAUAAACAACAUUGAAGACAUCAAGUGUUGCUAGGAUACCGUAGAUAGGCCAGUGCUAAAUCCAGUUUAAACCUUAGAUCCGACUUAAGGGUGGGUCCUUGGUGUGGUCUAGGUAUAAAAGGUAAACACAAAUGACGUUUGUUUCGGUAGAAUUUUAUUUAUUUAAUGCGGUCAUAAACGAUGAUAUAAUCCACCAUCACCAGGUAAAAUUUUAAACAGGUAAGAUUUUAAACAUCGACCUGGACAUAACCAACAUUAGUUACUGAAUAUGUAUGUAAACAACGAUUUUUACUACAAAAUGGAAGGGACCACAUAGAACCUUGAUGCCAGUGACCGUUCCACAAAACAUUCCAAGCAAGGCGUUUCAUCUUCUCUAAUAUAUAAAACAGAGAUGUCUGUGUAUUCGCUUUUCACGUGAAAUCGACUUCACCAAAUGCUUCCAUACUUGUGAUGCAUGAAUAAUUUGACCUCGGAUAAAUGAUAGGCUCUUCAUUUGAUUUUUU